rnacentral:lncRNA from 1 species
AUCAUGUAGAACAAUCACUACUCUUGGUUUGCUAACCAUGAGUAUAAAGAAGCGUAUGACAAAGAAAUAGAAGAGUAAUCCCCACAUCUAAUCAACACAUUUCCCCUUUUUUUAAUUCUAAUCAGACCUUUUUGUAAGUAAAUCUUCUCAGACCUUUCUGAGCCAUUACCAGAUUGAUUUAGUAAGGCUUAGCUAAAUUCAAAUCGCAAUAAUUACUUGCUAAUAAAACAUUGUUUUCAAAGAGCUUUAAGCCUUGUUUAUCAAAAAAAGAAAGAAAGAAAAGAAAAAACUACAUUCUCUGAAAACCCAUCCUUCAAACAUAACCUAAAAUCUAUUCUGGGAACAAACCAUUCCAUUCCACCACCAGUA